UACGUAGGGGCGAGCGUUGUCCGGAUUCAUUGGGCGUAAAGCGCGUGUAGGCGGCUUGGUAAGUCUGCUCUGAAAGCCCGGGGCUCAACCCCGGGAGGCGGGUGGAUACUGUCAAGCUCGAGUCCGGAAGAGGAGUGUGGAAUUCCUGGUGUAGCGGUGAAAUGCGUAGAGAUCGGAGGACAUCUGUGGCGAAGGCGCCAUCUGGACCAGCACUGACACUGAGGCACGAAAGCGUGGGGAGCAAACAGGGAU
rnacentral:rRNA from 1 species